rnacentral:lncRNA from 10 species
GGCUGCUGUGGGGGAUGGGGGUGAGAUUCCCAGGUCACUGGAGUUGUGUACCUAGGAGGAUUAUGGCUGCCUCUGCCGAGUCAUGCAGGUUGUCAGGGAAGUGGAGGAAAGCCGGCAGUUACAGGCCCCACCAAGCUCCCACACAAACCGAAGGGCCAGUCUCACUCCUACCGUGCACCCCCCAACAGCCCUGAGUCUGUUUCCAGGCGGUGAGUGAGAUGGGCUUGAAAACAUGCCCCAGGCUACCCACCUCCCAGCUGCAAAAUAAAAGGGAUUGAUUCUUCCCCUGCCUGUGGAGUCUGCACACUGGAUUUGCACCCUCCCCUGAGUUCUGGCCAGGAGGCUUCUUGCCCCAUUCAAAUUGUUAUGAAGUUCAGCUGGAGAUUUCCUUCUGUCUGUGGAGUUUUACCCCAUGCUCCUCUGGCCACCCUCCCAAUGAAUCCCUGUGGUGCCAGGUAGGAAUGGGCUGUCUGGGGACCCAGCGAGCUCCCAGGGCCUUUCUGCUGCUUCCUCUACCCCUGUAUUUGGCUUGGCUCUCCAAACUUGGACUCAGCUCCAGGAUUGAAGCCAUUUUGAAGAAUUCCAGUUUGCUC